AUGGCGAAGCGCAAGUCGAUGAGUUCCAAGAUGGCUCAGCGGAAGAAGCCGGCGCCCAAGCUGGAGACCUCCUUCUGCUGCCCCUUCUGCAACCACCCCGGCGGCGUGUCCUGCACCAUCGACCUCAAGCUCUACGUCGCCACCGCCGUCUGCUACGUCUGCCAGGAGUUCUACCACACCACCGCGCACUACCUCACCGAGCCCGUCGACGUCUACCACGACUGGAUCGACGCUUGCGAGAUGGCCAACCAAGGCGUCGAACUCCAAGCCCUGGACUACCACAAACAACAGCGGCGAGUCGGCAGCGACGACGACGACGAUGCCUGA
rnacentral:rRNA from 1 species